UAAAUACUCCCUUCGUCUGGAAAUACUUGUCGAAGAAAUGGGUGUAUCUAGAUGUAUUUUAGUUUUAGAUAUCCAUUUUUAUCCAUUUCUGCGACAAGUAAUCCGGACGGAGGGAGUAUAAC
rnacentral:pre_miRNA from 1 species